rnacentral:tRNA from 1 species
GAGCCUGUGGCUCAAUAGUAGAGCGUUCGUCUCAAAAACCAAUGGUCGCGGGUACGAAUCCCAGGUGUG